rnacentral:rRNA from 1 species
GGCGAACGCUGGCGGCGUGCUUAACACAGGCAAGUCGAACGGAAAGGCCCUGCUUUUGUGGGGUGCUCGAGUGGCGAACGGGUGAGUAACACGUGAGUAACCUGCCCUUGACUUUGGGAUAACUUCAGGAAACUGGGGCUAAUACCGGAUAGGAGCUCCUGCUGCAUGGUGGGGGUUGGAAAGUUUCGGCGGUUGGGGAUGGACUCGCGGCUUAUUGGCUGGUGGGUGGGGUAGUGGCUUACCAAGGCUUUGACGGGUAGCCGGCCUGGGGGGGUGACCGGCCCCAUUGGGACUGAGAUCCGGCCCAGACUCCUCCGGGAGGCAGCAGUGGGGAAUAUUGCACAAUGGGCGGAAGCCUGAUGCAGCAACGCCGCGUGCGGGAUGACGGCCUUCGGGUUGUAACCCGCUUUCGCCUGUGACGAAGCGUGAGUGACGGUAAUGGGUAAAGAAGCACCGGCUAACUACGUG